rnacentral:rRNA from 1 species
CAGCACUAAGUGGGUGGUAAACUCCAUCUAAAACUAAAUAUAACCAUGAGACCGAUAGCAAACAAGUACCGUGAGGGAAAGUUGAAAAGAACUCUGAAUAGAGAGUUAAAUAGUACGUGAAACUGCAUAGAGGUUAAGCCCGAUGAACCUGAAUAUCCGUUAUAGAAAAUUCAUCAUCAGUACCAUAUUAUUUUCUUAAUAAUAUAUAAUGGUGUGCACUUUUUCUAUUUAAGGACAUUGUAAUCUGUUAAUGUUUAAAUGCGUAUUAUAAGAGCUUUUACAAUAGUUUAUUCAUUUUUUAAUGUAUUUAUAUAUUGAUUGGAAUAAAUGUUUAAGUUUCGAAUAUGCCAUUGACAGAUUUAUUAUAUAUAGUACUUGAAUCCUUGUGAUUCUAUAAUAAUAUGUUUAUCGAUGAUUUAUGUAUUUAUUAUAUGUAUUUAUAUGAUUAACAAUGCGAAAGAUUCAGGAUACCUUCGGGACCC